AGUUUCUGUCUCCACUGCCACAGCAUGCUAAAACAGUGGAGCAUUGGGAAAGAGAAAAAAGAAAAAGAAAGGAAAGCAUAGGAUUUACACACUAUCUUUGGGAUUUAUUUACUCCUUUGCUAAACUACAAGUCAAAAAAGAGUAUUUUCUGGAGCUCUCACUGUCUGCAAUGAUUUCAGGUUGAGGAUAUCAGAAAGGGUGAAGUGGUAAAUUCAUUGGAGAUGUGGAACCAGAGUCUCUCGUGUUUCACUAUCUUAAAGAAUAUGUGGAGAAGAUUGUGUGAGUGGGAGAAGGAGGGGUGACAGUGCACAGAGUGAUUUCAAACCAUUCAAGAGAAUAGAAACGGUGGAUGUUGCUGGUGAGAGUCAAGGAGAGAAAAUAAAAAGGAUGAUGAAUCCACAAGGCAAAUCAUGUUGAUAUUUCCUGAAGUAGAGACUAUGUGGGAGGCUGAAGAAUCAGAGAGGCAUAGCUGCUCUAGAAAAAUUGGAGAUGCCUACCAAACAUCCAAGGAGAUGUCAAACAGGCAUUUGAAAAAGCAAGUCUAACAUUUUGAGGAGAAUUUGAAGCUGAAGUUAAAAAUUUGGUAUACAGAUGGAAUUUUAAGCCCUAAGACUAGAAUUUAUACAAUGUUUGUAUCCAUGUGUACAUCAAUAGACUUUGUAGAAUGCUAACAAAAUAAUAUGCUGUCUUUGAUUACUUAAUUUUACUAAACUUCAAAGAUGAAUGGUCAAGAAUACAUUCUUGUGAUACAUUUUUAAGUUUCUGCUUUUUUUGUGCAUAUGUUAACUUGACAAUCUCUUCUUUUUCCCUCUGAACAGAAAAAGCAAGACUACAAUCACAGCAUUACUCAUUUGUAUAGUCUGCCAUUUUUGUACUAUGGGACAUCUAAGACAAGCUUUUCACUUCUAGUUUCCUUUGUUAACCACUAGUUAAACCAUGGUUUAGGGAUAAAUUUUGUUAAUAUUUCCAUUAUUGCAUACUUUAAAGAAUUGCUUGUUUGGUUGGGUUGUUGAUGUAUCAUUUAGGACCAGAUAAAGAAAACUGAAAAAAUUCUCAAUUACUUUAAUCAGCCACUGAUUUAAUACUGGGAAUUUGGUGCCUAUCAAUUUAUAAGAAUGGCUUGGAGCCUGCUCUACAAGCUGGGGCCCAAGAGAGAAGCCUGUGUAACUUUGAGUUCAAGUAUAUACUGCAGAAGUUGGGACUCAAGAAUUAGGAAGCUGUUCCUAUUAGGCCUAUUGCAAAUUCCUGAUGGAAAGAAAACUAGAAAUGGGACAACUGAUUGCUGGAUUGGGCCUCAAUAGCAGAACCACCUCUCAAUCACUCAAGAAGGAAAGCACAGGACACUGCUACUGAAAACUCAAUUACUCUGUAACUGUGCUUGCAGUAGCAGAAGGAACAGGAAAAAGGCUUCAUUUCACUUUCUGUGCCUACAUCUUCCUCAAGUGUAUCAAUUUAGGAAACCUUAUUCAGAUCCCAAACCCUAGCUGCAAGCAAGCCUGAGGAAAAAAUAUCCCUAUUUUUUAAAUUUGCUUUGCUGUUGUUUCUGUAUUCUCUGUUCAGAUUUUUUUGUCAGGGAGAUACACUAGAGGUGAAGAUAGUUGCUGGUCAAGCCAUUCUACAAUAUCUAUUACAAAUUCACUUUUUAUUGUUUAUUUGUAGGUUCUCUUAUAAAUAGGGCUUAUAUAGUAGUGUGGGACUAAUGUAAAUAAACACUCUAAUCACAAUUUGACUUGGAAGUAAGCAGUCAUGUGUCAUCUUUGGCCACCAAUUUGGUACGUAUGUGUGUGUGGUGGGGGGUUGUGAUUAUAACAACACAGUAUUGAAAAUUGCCAUAAUACUGAAAAUUUUAGAGUCUUAAGAAAAAUAUUUUAGUUUGCUUAUAAAUAUUUAUAUAAAUAUAUAUAUUUAACCUAUAAAUAUAUAUAUAUAU